CUUGUAUUGUGCACUUAAGUGUAGGAGUUGCCUGAAACCCUAGUUGCAUGAACUCAGGAUUCCUUUGAGAUGGAUACUAGUAUGCUAGGUCGAGUAGCUGCUUUAUUAAUUAGGAUCUCGGUAGAAGUCGAGUGAUUUUUCUAGCACUCGCGCGAGGUCAGGAAUUGGUUGUAUCCACUUUGAUAACAGAAUGAUGAUGGUCUGUGGACACGGGUCCAUGGGGACGCGUGGUCUACGAGAUGAAAUUGGAAUAAGGAUUAACGUGCGGAUACCUGUGUCAAGCGUUUGAACGUACUAAACACAUGCCGAGAAAUAUGGUAAAUCGGUAAGCCUAGUACCUGAGUGAACCUGCCCGCAGAUUGCCCUCCUCACGCGACCUGAGACGUGGUCUCCCAUUCCGGUUAUGGUGGGUACAAGUGCGGUCACUGCACGACGGCAGUCGGGGUCAGUGAGGCAUUGUACGCCAAGGCGGUGAGCCCCUUUCUGUUGCCAGGGAAUCGAUGGGGACGGUUGAUAUGUGUGGGGACGGAGUGCCCCUACAUGUCGUGUGUUUAGGUUUACCUUGCAAGGAUAAAAACUCGAUUCGAAUCGUCUGCUUCUCGCAGCUAAUGAGACUGCUUGAUCCAUUGUACUGCAUUGAGUAAUAAGUGGAAAUGAGGUGACU
rnacentral:lncRNA from 7 species